AGAGAGAGACAUGCGCGCAUAUCAAUAAGCGGAGGAAAAGAAACUAACUAGGAUUCCCUCAGUAACGGCGAGUGAAGCGGGAAGAGCUCAAAUUUGAAAUCUUCAAGGUUCUACCUUGACGAAUUGUAGUUUAAAGAAGUGUUUUCUGUUGAGGUUUUGGUAAAAGUUCUUUGGAAUAGGACAUCAUAGAGGGUGAGAAUCCCGUAUUUGACCUUUACUUUCAACUUUGUGAUACACUUUCAAAGAGUCGGAUUGUUUGGGAAUGCAGUCCAAAAUGGGUGGUAAAUUUCAUCUAAAGCUAAAUAUUGGCGAGAGACCGAUAGCGAACAAGUACCGUGAGGGAAAGAUGAAAAGAACUUUGAAAAGAGAGUUAAACAGUACGUGAAAUUGUCAAAAGGGAAGCGUUUGACACCAGUGUUGUUUUCUCGAAAAUCAAUUAAAAAGAGCAGGAUUUUGUGUUGUAUUGACUUUAUCAGCUUUCUGCGCUCUUUUCUUGUCUUUUUUUAAUGCACUUUUCGUUUAACAAGUCAACAUCAAUUUCUUUUGUUGUAAAAGGGUCAUUGGAAGGUGGCUUUCUUUUCGGAGAAAGUGUUUAUAGCCUUUGGCCUCUGCAAUCGGAGAGAUUGAGGUCUGCAGCGUAGAUCCUUCGGGGUUAGAUACAUUUGUGCUAAGUUAUAGCCUUUCAUAGACAACUUGUUGACUAUGAUCAGUCAUGUAGCUUACUCGCUUAUGCUAUUUUACCUACGCUUAGGAUGUUGAUGUGAUACUGCGAGCA
rnacentral:rRNA from 1 species